GGCUUUAGCGUUAGCGAUCGCCGUUUUUAUGGUGUUGGACCUCAGCGAUUUCUGAGACCAGCACUCCGAAGUUUCAAUUCCCCCAGCAGGACCUCUAGGAACUUUGAGGCGGAUUGAGAAGGGCCGGGCCUCCGAGCCUCCAGCCUAAGAAGGUGGGACUUGGGAAAAUGUCAGAGGUCUGCGACGGGAAUUGGCCCCAUGACACUCAUUCUUGCUCAGAAGAAACCGAUUGCAAAGGCCGGGAGAUGAGGGGCAGAGAUGAAGGCAAACAAGCGCGGGCUCGUUGCCUCUCGACCCCAACACAACCUACGGGGCUUGGAGGGAACCAAGCCGACGACCCAAAAGCAUCGGUCGGGGCACUCUGUAGCCGAUAAGGUCUUUUGGGAAGCAGCCUACCUUGUGGACUGUAAUAAGUCACUUUUAUGGGUGUGGUUGUAAAGAACAGGAUUCAGAACCUGUGGGGUUCAGGUUCUCGAGGUACAAGUGGUGGGGAGUUUACCUACCCUGGAUGACAAAAUCUCCUGGAACACCGUCACCCGGAAGAUAGAAAUGUCGUGACUGUUGUGUAUACUGUGUGAUGAUUCUGAGAAUCAGUUUGCUUGCCCAGAAAGGAGAUCAGAAGACCAGAUGAUGCAGCAGCAAAUGUCUUAGGUGUGCUAUUUGGAACAGAGAAUUUCCAGGCAGUAGGAGUAUGAACAAAUGCAGGGCUGAGAAAUUGUAUGGUGAUGCCUCUCCAUAAGUGGGAUUGGCUGGACAGGGCCGUAGUCCUCACCUGUAAUUUCCUGGCCAUCACCUUGCUUUGUGGUCUUUCCUUGUCUCUUCUUGGGUAGAAAUGAACUGCCUAAUGUUCCUGUUAGUGCACUUUUCACCAACUGCCAUGGUAAGACAAUGUGUCAGAUGCCUAAACACAAGCCAAGUAAGUCCUGGUGUAGAAGGGAAGGGCUCAACAUCAUUACUAACCUACAGCCUCAGUACUCAUUCUCACCAGCUCCCUCAGAACCACUCCUUCCCACUGAUAUCCAUCAGCAUCUGUAACACGAGCCUUUACUAUGCCACCUUUAGAAUUGAGGAUUCUGAAAAUCAGAAAAGAGUGGGCCCUAAAAAGGAAAGAACUUGUUCCUCUUUUCUCAUUCUUCUCUGAUUUAGCCUAUUUAAUUCUGGUGAAAUUUUCAUGAUCAGCACCCUCUUCUCUCAUUCUACAUGAACAUUUUGUUGCUGACCUUCCCUCAGUUAUUCCCUGAGACCCAGAAACAGUAUCUUUUCUGUGCUUUUAUCUACAUCACCACAGGUAAAGAGGUACAGAGAUGAAUUCUGAAGAUCUUGGCCGUGGAGUGAGGUAGGAACUUUAUCUUGAUUAGCCUCUUGGAAAAAUCAAAAGGUGUGAGGGAAAAGAAAAAUCUAGGAGAAAAAAAUGUUCUCGAGGGAGGAAGAGAAUGAGAGAAACGGAGUAUUAACAUUAUUUUGGUUCACUGACCAUGAUACUAAAGUACAGCUUUUAAGUAUUGGGAUAAGCUAACCAGAAAGUCUUUCUUUCUCCUUCUUUUUUUGACUGACAGGUACUUUUCUUUUUAAUUCAGUUUUAUUGAGAUAUAUUCACAUACCAUACAAUCAUCCAUGGUGUACA